rnacentral:sRNA from 1 species
CAUCAUCCAUUCCCUCCAGCACCACACAGGACACUGUGCUGAACUUCCACUUCACUGUCACCAAAAUUGAGGCUCUGGUUUGCAUGAGACUGGUCACCCCUGGCUUCUGCUUGAUCCAGAGGAACCAAGCUGUCCCCUUCGCAGCAAGGAGCACCUCCACUAAGAGUCUGAGAGAAGACAAGUAGAAAGUGGGGAACGUCAAGGACAAGCUGAAACCUCGUCUGCUUAAAAAUCAAAGAUGGUGAAACAAAGGUCUGUGCUGUGCAGUGGCUUCCGUGUGCUGCAGGAGGCUCAGAGCUGUGCCCUUGGUGUCUUCCCAACAGAAGACUCAGAACUACUCAAUCAGGCUGAAAAGCUAGAAUUUCUAUCAAAGGGAAAGGACCACAUAGCAAACUCAGACAACAGAGCUGCUUUCUGACAGCACUGGAAUAGCAGUGUGUUUUAGAAAAUAUUCCAUGUACCACAUUAAGGCUGAUGAGCUGACGGCCAGUAAACAGUUGGAGAAGGAUUUGACAUCCUUAGCCUUUGGGAACCGGAAAUUAAAACUGCCCUGAGAUUUCAUCUCCACAGAGUCAGAUUGGCUGUGGUCAAGAAGAGAAAGUCUCACAAAUACCCUGAGGAUGUGGAGAAGGGCACUGAGUCACUGCGGGUGGGAGAGUGAACAUGUGCAGCCAUGAUGGAAAGCAAUAGGAAGGUUGCUCCAAACACUGAAAGCACAACUGUCGCAUAACCAGCUCGCAUAGCCAGCUCGCAUAGCCAGCUUUCCUCUCCUGGGUAUAUACCUAAAGAAUUACGGAUCUACAUCCACAGAGACUUGUGCAUUAACGUCCGUUGCUACAUUAGUCACAACAGCCAGAAAACGGAGCCAACCUAGACAUCCGUCAACAGAUGAAUGGAAACCAGAAAUGUGAGACAUAUACGCAGUGGAAUUUUGUGCAGCCAUAAAGAAAGACAAAAUCGUGACAUUUGAAGCAAAGUGGAUACAGUUGAAAUGCAUGUGUCACGCAAAAUAGGCAAAUACAGAAGACACAGACUGUGUGUCCUUAUAUGCUGCAACUGUAUUUAAAAUAGCAUGUGCAUAUGUAUACGCACACAUAUAUGUAUAUAUACACAUACAUGCAUAUGUAUGUAUAUGUGUGUGUGUGUUACAAAACUAGAGAAGGGAGUAUAAGACAGGAGGAAGAGCUCUUAAGGAAGAGGGGAAACAAAAAGAAUGGAAUAUGUUGAUAAGAAAUCUACAGGGUGGGGGCUGG